rnacentral:rRNA from 1 species
UUGCUCUGGUGGAUUAGUGGCGAACGGGUGAGUAACACGUGAGCAACCUGCCCUGGACUCUGGGAUAAGCGCUGGAAACGGCGUCUAAUACUGGAUACGAGACGUGGCCGCAUGGUCAACGUUUGGAAAGAUUUUUCGGUCUGGGAUGGGCUCGCGGCCUAUCAGCUUGUUGGUGAGGUAAUGGCUCACCAAGGCGUCGACGGGUAGCCGGCCUGAGAGGGUGACCGGCCACACUGGGACUGAGACACGGCCCAGACUCCUACGGGAGGCAGCAGUGGGGAAUAUUGCACAAUGGGCGCAAGCCUGAUGCAGCAACGCCGCGUGAGGGAUGACGGCCUUCGGGUUGUAAACCUCUUUUAGCAGGGAAGAAGCGAGAGUGACGGUACCUGCAGAAAAAGCGCCGGCUAACUACGUGCCAGCAGCCGCGGUAAUACGUAGGGCGCAAGCGUUAUCCGGAAUUAUUGGGCGUAAAGAGCUCGUAGGCGGUUUGUCGCGUCUGCUGUGAAAUCCCGAGGCUCAACCUCGGGCCUGCAGUGGGUACGGGCAGACUAGAGUGCGGUAGGGGAGAUUGGAAUUCCUGGUGUAGCGGUGGAAUGCGCAGAUAUCAGGAGGAACACCGAUGGCGAAGGCAGAUCUCUGGGCCGUAACUGACGCUGAGGAGCGAAAGGGUGGGGAGCAAACAGGCUUAGAUACCCUGGUAGUCCACCCCGUAAACGUUGGGAACUAGUUGUGGGGUCCUUUCCACGGAUUCCGUGACGCAGCUAACGCAUUAAGUUCCCCGCCUGGGGAGUACGGCCGCAAGGCUAAAACUCAAAGGAAUUGACGGGGACCCGCACAAGCGGCGGAACAUGCGGAUUAAUUCGAUGCACCGCGAAGAACCUUACCAGGGCUUGACUUACCCGAAAACGGGCCAAAAUGGUCAC